rnacentral:snRNA from 1 species
AUACUUAACCUGGCAAGGGAGACACCAUGAGGAAGGUGGUUUUCUCCGGGCAAGGCUCAUCCAUUGCACUUGGGACUGCUGACCCCUGCUAUUUCCCAAAAUGUGUGAAACUCCACUGCAUAAUUUGUGGUAGUGGGGGACUGCAUUAGGGCUCUCCGA